GCCUGUUGUUCCAGCAGGAUUUUCAGGUCAGUUGGAAGAGUCUGCAGAGUAAAUAUGGGAGUUUCUUCAUUUCCGGACACUCUUCUUUCCACUUCCUGUGGUUCUUUUGCAGCUUGUUUUGCAGCCUGAUCAGCUAGAUGGUUGCCCUUUGCUUCAUCUGAGUCCAACUUCCCAUGUGCUUUUAUCUUCAAAAUAGCCACUUCUUCUGGGAGUAGGAGGGCGUCCAUCAGCUCCUUGAUCGCGGAAUCGUGCUUGAUUGGUGUACCGGUGGUGGAAAGAAAUCCUCUUGUUUUCCAAAUUAAUCCGAAGUCGUGAGCCACGCCCAGUGCAUAUCUUGAAUCCGUGUAGAUAUUGGCGCGCUUUCCUUCAGAGAUCUUGCAUGCUGAAGUCAGGGCUUGCAAUUCAGCUUCUUGUGCAGACAUAGUUGAUGGUAAAGAUGAUGAUUUGACAAUUUCAUCUGUUGUGGUUACGGCAUAUCCUGUAUGGUAUCUUCCUUCUUCAUCAGCAUAUCUUGAGCCGUCCACAAACAGGGUGAGAUCGGGAUCUACCAAUGGGUCUU